rnacentral:rRNA from 1 species
CGUAGGGUGCGAGCGUUAAUCGGAAUUACUGGGCGUAAAGCGUGCGCAGGCGGUUCGCCAAGUCAGGUGUGAAAUCCCCGGGCUUAACCUGGGAAUUGCGCUUGAAACUAGCGGGCUUGAGUGUGGCAGAGGGGGUGGAAUUCCACGUGUAGCAGUGAAAUGCGUAGAGAUGUGGAGGAACACCGAUGGCGAAGGCAGCCCCCUGGGUCAACACUGACGCUCAUGCACGAAAGCGUGGGGAGCAAACAGGAUUAGAUACCCUGGUAGUCCACGCCCUAAACGAUGUCGACUAGGUGUUGGGGAAGGAGACUUCCUUAGUACCGCAGCUAACGCGUGAAGUCGACCGCCUGGGGAGUACGGUCGCAAGAUUA